GACGAACGCUGGCGGCGUGCCUAAUACAUGCAAGUCGAACGCAAGGAUACACACUGUGCUUGCACAGCGUGUUAGCUUGAGUCGCGAACGGGUUAGUAACGCGUAGGCAACUUGCCUAGGAGCGGGGGAGAACAAGUUGAAACGAUAGCUAAUACUGCAUAAUAUUAAAUGUUGCAGGCUAAUUGAUUGAAAGAUGCAAGCGCAUCACUAGUAGAUGGACCUGCGUUGUAUUGGCUAGUUGGAAAGGUAAGAGCAUACCAAGGGGACGAGACAUAGCCGACUCUGAAGGGUGCUCCGCCCCACUGGGGCUGGAGCACGGCCCAGGCUCCUUCGGGAGGCAGCCGGAGGGGAUUUUUGGCAAUGGACGAAAGGCUGAACCAGCAACGCCGCGUGAGUGAAGGAGGGUUUCGGGUCGUAAAAGUCCGUUGUGCGUCAAGGACGUCUCUCCGUGUGAAAAGUGCAGACAGUGACGGUAGCUGAACAAAAAGCGCCGGCUAACUACGUG
rnacentral:rRNA from 1 species